UCGAGAAUCUUCGGCAAUGGGCGCAAGCCUGACCGAGCGACGCCGCGUGGAGGAAGAAGGCCCUCGGGUUGUAAACUCCUGUUGGGGGGAAUCAAUUCAAUGAGAGAACCCCUGAGGAAGCACGGGCUAAGUUCGUGCCAGCAGCCGCGGUAAGACGAACCGUGCGAACGUUAUUCGGAAUCACUGGGCUUAAAGCGCGCGUAGGCGGCGUCGUAAGUCAGGGGUGAAAUCCCAACGGCUCAACCGUGGAAUUGCCUUUGAUACUGCGAUGCUCGAGGGAGGUAGGGGCAAGUGGAACUUCCAGUGGAGCGGUGAAAUGUGUUGAGAUUGGAAGGAACGCCGGUGGCGAAAGCGACUUGCUGGAUCUCUUCUGACGCUGAGGCGCGAAAGCUAGGGUAGCGAACGGGAUUAGAUACCCACGUAGUCCCUGAGCGGGC
rnacentral:rRNA from 1 species